UGACAAUAACAAAACGUCAGAAACCGACAUUAUUUAGGUUAUAUUUUUCUGUCAUCCAGGAAAUUUUCUGUGUGUAAUAACAGUAGCAUUAUUGUAAAAGAAAAUGCGUGGGCCAGUAACCUUCUGGUGGUUGUCGCAGACUAUCCGUUUACUUUUACUACUGGUGUUGCUUCUAUCGACCGUGGUAUACUUCCUUAGCUUACUAGACGCCUCUCUAUUAAGAUCCUACAUACAUCCGGAAAACGUCACGAAAUCUAUCUAUGCUAAGACAUCCUUUUUGUGGUCUCAAAAAUGGCCAACUGAAGUUAACUUUGAGGCCAACAACGUAACGUAUACCAGAAAUACAUUUAACAAAGAUUCUAAUCAAAUAAACAGUACUAAUAAACAUUUUUUGAAUACAACUAAAAAUAGAGCAAAAGGGUACACUGCUUCUUUUCUAGCUGUUAAGGCAGUACCAAGAGUUAAUAAGACAAUAAAAAAGCGCGUUUUAAAAACGACAAAAACACCUCUACCACUUUGUCCCGAGGUGCCUCCGGG